rnacentral:rRNA from 1 species
UACGGGGGGGGCAAGCGUUGUUCGGAAUUACUGGGCGUAAAGGGCUCGUAGGUGGCCAACUAAGUCAGACGUGAAAUCCCUCGGCUUAACCGGGGAACUGCGUCCGAUACUGGAAGGCUUGAAUCCGGGAGAGGUGAGUGGAAUUCCCAGUGUAGCGGUGAAAUGCGUAGAUAUUGGGAGGAACACCAGUGGCGAAGGCGGCUCACUGGACCGGAACUGACGCUGAGGCGCGAAAGCGUGGGGAGCAAACGGG